rnacentral:rRNA from 1 species
GUGUCAGCAGCCGCGGUAAUACGUAGGGUGCGAGCGUUAAUCGGAAUUACUGGGCGUAAAGCGUGCGCAGGCGGUUUUGAAAGUCAGAUGUGAAAUCCCCGAGCUCAACUUGGGAACUGCGUUUGAAACUCCAAAGCUAGAGUAUAGGAGAGGGGGGUAGAAUUCCACGUGUAGCAGUGAAAUGCGUAGAGAUGUGGAGGAAUACCAAUGGCGAAGGCAGCCCCCUGGCCUAAUACUGACGCUCAUGCACGAAAGCGUGGGGAGCAAACAGGAUUAGAAACCCCCGUAGUCC